GCCGCCGUAGCUCAGUUGGUAUAGAGCAUCGGGCGCGCAAUCCGAAGGUUGCAGGUCCGCUCCCUGCCGGCGGCA